rnacentral:rRNA from 1 species
UACGUAGGGUGCAAGCGUUGUCCGGAAUUAUUGGGCGUAAAGAGCUCGUAGGCGGUCUGUCGCGUCUGCUGUGAAAACUUGGGGCUCAACUCCAAGCUUGCAGUCGAUACGGGCAGGCUAGAGUUCGGUAGGGGAGACUGGAAUUCCUGGUGUAGCGGUGAAAUGCGCAGAUAUCAGGAGGAACACCGGUGGCGAAGGCGGGUCUCUGGGCCGAUACUGGCGCUGAGGAGCGAAAGCGUGGGGAGCGAACAGG